rnacentral:rRNA from 1 species
CACGUAGGGGGCGAGCGUUGUCCGGAUUUAUUGGGCGUAAAGAGCUCGUAGGCGGCUCGGUAAGUCGGGUGUGAAAACUCGGGGCUCAACCCCGAGACGCCACUCGAUACUGCCAUGGCUAGAGUCCGGUAGGGGAGCGUGGAAUUCCUGGUGUAGCGGUGAAAUGCGCAGAUAUCAGGAGGAACACCGGUGGCGAAGGCGGCGCUCUGGGCCGGAACUGACGCUGAGGAGCGAAAGCUAGGGGAGCAAACAGG